rnacentral:rRNA from 1 species
UACGUAGGGUGCGAGCGUUAAUCGGAAUUACUGGGCGUAAAGCGUGCGUAGGCGGUUCGUUAAGUUCGUUGUGAAAGCCCCGGGCUCAACCUGGGAAUGGCAUUUGGGACUGCAAGGCUUGAGUGCGGCAGAGGAGACUGGAAUUCCUGGUGUAGCAGUGAAAUGCGUAGAUAUCAGGAGGAACACCGAUGGCGAAGGCAGGUCUCUGGGCUGACACUGACGCUCAUGCACGAAAGCGUGGGGAGCAAACAGG